GAACUCUUAGGAGUGAAGCAUUUCCCGCUCUCUUGCUGUUCCUCCUAAAUGUUUCCUCUGUAGCUGCAUAAGCUGGCAGGCAGCCUGAGAUGGAACCCUCCUCAGAAGACCCCCACCUCUACUGGACCACCCGGCUCCUGGGACUCACUAGCCUGCUCCUCAAGUGGAGAUUAGUCACCACUGCCUCUCAGGUCAGUUUGGAGACAGCCCGAGAC
rnacentral:lncRNA from 1 species